AACGAACGCUGGCGGCAGGCUUAACACAUGCAAGUCGAACGCGUGUAGCAAUACACGAGUGGCGCACGGGUGAAUAACACGUGGAUUAUCUGCCUUUUGGUUCGGAAUAACCCCGGGAAACUGGGGCUAAUACCGGAUGGUUCCUUCGGGAUAAAGAUUUAUCGCCAAAAGAUGAGUCCGCGUCCGAUUAGCUAGUUGGUGGGGUAACGGCCCACCAAGGCGACGAUCGGUAGCUGGUCUGAGAGGACGAUCAGCCACACUGGGACUGGGACACGGCCCAGACUCCUACGGGAGGCAGCAGUGGGGAAUAUUGGACAAUGGGGGCAACCCUGAUCCAGCCAUGCCGCGUGAGUGAUGAAGGCCUUCGGGUUGUAAAGCUCUUUUGGCGGGGACGAUGAUGACGGUACCCGCAGAAUAAGCCCCGGCUAACUUCGUGCCAGCCGCCGCCGUAACAC
rnacentral:rRNA from 1 species